UCGUGCCCGCAGCCAUGGGGACGAGAUUGGCGCGCUCGCAAAAGAGGCCUCUGUUGCGGGGAGCCUCACCAGCGAGCAGGCGGACCCCAGGAGCAGAUCUGAGACAGACCUUGGCGCGUCUACAGCAGCGAGUCUUGGCCCUGUGAAGGGCGCACUCGAUCCGAAUGACCCCCGCUUCAUCGAAAGAGAGGUGCAUAAUCCCACAGCAAAUCAAACUCUUCCAGCUGUUCUGCAUUGUCAAAGGCCACUUGUUGAAGCGCCCUGAUUUCACAUGACAGAGUCUAGCUGUGCCAUUGUCUGGCAUUUGUGAGGGAGUGUUCUCAAUGCUGACUCAUUGGCUAAGCUAAUUCUACGCCAAGAACACUUUUCUCAGGAGUGCCAGAUGACAAAAGCCCCCUGUGAAGAAGUGUCUGAGCAGCAUCGCUGGGGUUGUGAUGCCCCAAGCCAAUAUAGCCAACCGAGUUUAAAUUCUGUUAUGGGCGGCAGGUUGAGACAGGGUCAGAGUCGAGCACGCCCAGGACGCCGGAGCUCAAAGCACGCGGCGGAGGGUUUGCGCCAUUUGAUGGGGCGCGCGACGGGGGCGGCCACAGCGGCACCGUGGAUUGGCUGUCCGACUGGCGCCUCAGGACCGCGCUGUCCUCGA
rnacentral:lncRNA from 1 species